rnacentral:rRNA from 1 species
GUGGGGAAUAUUGCACAAUGGGGGAAACCCUGAUGCAGCAACGCCGCGUGAGUGAAGAAGUAUUUCGGUAUGUAAAGCUCUAUCAGCAGGGAAGAAAGUGACGGUACCUGACUAAGAAGCCCCGGCUAACUACGUGCCAGCAGCCGCGGUAAUACGUAGGGGGCAAGCGUUAUCCGGAUUUACUGGGUGUAAAGGGAGCGUAGACGGCACAGCAAGUCUGAAGUGAAAUCCCCGGGCUCAACCCGGGAACUGCUUUGGAAACUGUUGGGCUAGAGUGCUGGAGAGGCAAGCGGAAUUCCUAGUGUAGCGGUGAAAUGCGUAGAUAUUAGGAGGAACACCAGUGGCGAAGGCGGCUUGCUGGACAGUAACUGACGUUGAGGCUCGAAAGCGUGGGGAGCAAACAGGA